CAAAAAGGUCUCAGAUCUGUGUGACACGAUGGGACAAACAGCUCUUCUUUGGCCGCUCUUCCUGAUGUCGCUGCUAUGCUGGGCAACAAACCACGCUCGUCUGACUGUGAGUCCCAG